CCACUGCUGAGGAGUCCCAAAAAAGAACGAAACAACUGUCCAGUGC
rfam:Schistosoma curassoni strain Dakar, Senegal genome assembly, scaffold: SCTD_scaffold0000321